rnacentral:lncRNA from 1 species
CACAUCAGCCAUGUCCCCAGCUAGGUUGUAGUUGCUUUGAGAGCAAGGACAGAAACUUCUACUUUGCCUUCCCAAGCACCUAGCUUGGUCUCUUCAAAAGAGUCAAUUACUUAUGGGUGACUGAGUUACUGAUUUCUAAGUGGGCCGUCCUGGAGGUUGGUAUGGUCAGGAGGAAGCAAAGAUCCCACAGGGUAGAAAAGUCUGUAUGUCUUAAGUGUCUGAGUGUAUUCAGGGAAGUAUUUGCUGUUUUCUCUCCACAGCAGCUGUGAACACAUUUCUUGUUGGUGGCCGUGACUUCUGUUUUCAAGCACUUCCAAAGAUCCUCCUGGUUGCUGAGGACCGUUCUACACUCCUGCCUUCAUAGCCCUAAGGCCAGCCUAGGCCAUGCCUUCAUUUUCCAGGAUUCCAUGCAGGAACUCUUGGACUCCCAACAGGCUCCCAUCGGAGUAACAGGCUUUCAAAAUUCACUGGCUUUCUAAAACUCCAGCAAGAAACUUGGAGACUCAAGUUACCCAUGAAAGGUAACAAUUCCUUGUACUCCCAUAUACUUCUGUGUCACAGAAGGAAGCUCUGGGGACUUAGAAUACCAAGGAAUAUGCUCUUUAGAAGUUGAUUUUUCUGUCAGGAGGUUUUGAAGGAGGAGACUGGAGGUCUGAGAUUACCACUGGUUCAGCCCACAAUUAAGUAUGGUUAGUGUCUGGGAAGAGGAGUAUAGAAUGACAUAGAUAAGGGGGAAAAAAGGUUUAAACUUCAUCUUUUGCUUAAUUAAAUGGGAGAUUAGAAUAAUCUGAAUUUUAGGGGCAGGGGAUGAGUAUAGAAAACAUAUUAUGGGGGAGUCCAGAGAAGACUAAAGUUGAGAAUCUGCUUUCAAAUUCUGACUCUAUGCUAUUCCUAGUCUUACUUUGUUAAUCUGUAAAAGUGGGGAUAAAAUCCACCUGUCAGGAUUACCAUGAGGUUAGGUGAGAAAAUGUGGGUG